rnacentral:lncRNA from 1 species
CAAUCAGGAUAAAGCAAUUCUUCUUCUUCUUUCUUGUCCGGUCUUGACUACAGACGAUCGAGGGCACUCAUCGUGGGGUACCAUGCGCCACGUGGUGCCCCAUGAUUCCCUGUAAUGCGCGGGCCCCGUCUUUUUUGUAGCGUUCAAUGCUUGAGACUUUUUCUGCAAUCUGACUGUUGAUGCGUCAGGAGUACGUACGCCUUGGCUUUUGUUUGGUACAGGAAUUGUUGAAUUCCAUGAAGGGAUAGGGAUAAAGAUAAGGAUAUCUGACGUAGCCCGGUGUUGCACG